rnacentral:ncRNA from 15 species
GACCUGCAUUCGCUCAGUUGGUUAGAGCAGUGCUUAUAACGCCAAAGUUAUAGGUUCGAGACCUACAUGGGUCA